rnacentral:rRNA from 1 species
AUGGUGGGGACAAAGUUGAUAGUAGCGACAAUGCCAAGAAGGAAGGAUGAGGAAUCGGGGAAAGCUUGUGAAGAGAAGGCCCUUGAAAACACUGAUGCCAAGGAAGAGAAGUCUGAUGAUGCUGAUGAGUUGAAAGUGUCAGAUGCACAAGGGAGCAGGUUGCUCUAG